rnacentral:rRNA from 1 species
AUUGAACGCUGGCGGCGUGCCUAAUACAUGCAAGUAGGACGCAGUUGCGACAGGGUGAGUAACGCGUAGGUAACUGCCUAUUAGAGGGGGAUAACUAUUGGAAACGAUAGCUAAUACCGCAUACUAGUAGAUGGACCUGCGUUGUAUUAGAUAGUAGGUAGGGUAAUGGCCUAACUAGGCGACGAUACAUAGCCGACUUUCGAGGGUGAUCGGCCACAAUGGGACUGGGACACGGACCAGAAUCCUACGGGAGGCAGCAGUAGGGAAUCUGCGGCAAUGGGGGGAAGCAUGACCGAGCAAAGCCGCGUGAGUGAAGAAGGUUUUCGGAUCGUAAAGCUCUGUUGUUAAGGAAGCGGUACUUAACCAGAAAGGGACGGCUAACUACGUGCCAGCAGCCGCGGUAAUUC